rnacentral:rRNA from 1 species
AACGAACGCUGGCGGCAUGCCUAACACAUGCAAGUCGAACGAGACCUUCGGGUCUAGUGGCGCACGGGUGCGUAACGCGUGGGAACCUGCCCUUAGGUUCGGAAUAACUCCCCGAAAGGGGUGCUAAUACCGGAUAAUGUCUUCGGACCAAAGAUUUAUCGCCUUUGGAUGGGCCCGCGUUGGAUUAGCUAGUUGGUAGGGUAAAAGCCUACCAAGGCGACGAUCCAUAGCUGGUCUGAGAGGAUGACCAGCCACACUGGGACUGAGACACGGCCCAGACUCCUACGGGAGGGAGCAGUGGGGAAUAUUGGACAAUGGGCGAAAGCCUGAUCCAGCAAUGCCGCGUGAGUGAUGAAGGCCUUAGGGUUGUAAAGCUCUUUUAGCCGGGAUGAUAAUGACAGUACCGGGAGAAUAAGCUCCGGCUAACUCCGUG